rnacentral:lncRNA from 1 species
CCCUCUCUAAUAUCCCGUGGAUUGAAGACAACUAGUUCCUUAUUUAAAAUAGCGGUUUAUGCUUCUCAAUUAUAUAGACCUAGUCAGCUGGUGGCAAAAAAAAAGAUGCUGAAGGGUGUGAUGAAAAGUCAACAACAACAACCAAGUGAUGGCACGUUCUAAUUAGGAUUCUCAUCGCUAACUUGCAUCCAAAGGACUUGACUCAGCUCGCACAAGUAACAAGGCAAUAUAAACGUAGACCUGCUAAUUGAGACACAUCACCUAUCACUCAU